GAUGAACGCUAGCGGCAGGCUUAACACAUGCAAGUCGAGGGGUAUUGGUUUUCGGACCAAGAGACCGGCGCACGGGUGCGUAACGCGUAUGCAAUCUACCUUUUGCAGAGGGAUAGCCCAGAGAAAUUUGGAUUAAUACCUCAUAGUAUAGUACUUUGGCAUCAAGGAACUAUUAAAGUCACAACGGCAAAAGAUGAGCAUGCGUCCCAUUAGCUAGUUGGUAAGGUAACGGCUUACCAAGGCUACGAUGGGUAGGGGUCCUGAGAGGGAGAUCCCCCACACUGGUACUGAGACACGGACCAGACUCCUACGGGAGGCAGCAGUGAGGAAUAUUGGACAAUGGGCGCAAGCCUGAUCCAGCCAUGCCGCGUGCAGGAUGACGGUCCUANGGAUUGUAAACUGCUUUUAAUAC
rnacentral:rRNA from 1 species